rnacentral:RNase_P_RNA from 1 species
UCGGGCAGCCGCUGGUCUUAUGAGCCAGAGGAAAGUCCAUGCUCGCACCGUCUGAGAUGAUGGUAGUGAUUGUGCUGAUCCAAUCAAUAAGGUCAGGCAGUGUAACAGCUGACGGCGAAGAGAAGCCUAAAGACAUCUGUCCAUGGCGGAUCUUCUGAAAGUGCCACAGUGACGGAGCUGACAGGAAACUGUUCAGGUGGAACGAGGUAAACCCCGCAAGCGAGAAAUCCAAAUUUGGUAGGAGAACUUUCGUGAGCGAAAUGAAGCAGGCGAAGGGUGCGAGAGCACAGAUAAAUGGCUGCCGCCCGGCAACGGGCACAGAACAUGGCUUACAG